GACGAACGCUGGCGGCGUGCUUAACACAUGCAAGUCGAACGGAAAGGCCUCUUUCGGGGGGUACUCGAGUGGCGAACGGGUGAGUAACACGUGAGUAACCUGCCCUUGACUUUGGGAUAACUUCAGGAAACUGGGGCUAAUACCGGAUAGGAGCUCCUGCUGCAUGGUGGGGGUUGGAAAGUUUCGGCGGUUGGGGAUGGACUCGCGGCUUAUCAGCUUGUUGGUGGGGUAGUGGCUUACCAAGGCUUUGACGGGUAGCCGGCCUGAGAGGGUGACCGGCCACAUUGGGACUGAGAGACGGCCCAGACGCCUACGGGAGGCAGCAGUGGGGAAUAUUGCACAAUGGGUGGAAGCCUGAUGCAGCAACGCCGUGUGCGGGAUGACGGCCUUCGGGUUGUAAACCGCUUUCGCUCAUGACGAAGCUUUGUGUGACGGUAGUGGGUAAAGAAGCACCGGCUAACUACGUG
rnacentral:rRNA from 1 species